AACAGGAUUAGAUACCCUGGUAGUCCACGCCGUAAACGAUGCUAACUCGUUUUUGGUUUUUCGGAAUCAGAGACUAAGCGAAAGUGAUAAGUUAGCCACCUGGGGAGUACGUUCGCAAGAAUGAAACUCAAAGGAAUUGACGGGGGCCCGCACAAGCGGUGGAUUAUGUGGUUUAAUUCGAUGAUACGCGAGGAACCUUACCAAGGCUUAAAUGGGAAUUGAUUGGUUUAGAAAUAGACCGUCCUUCGGGCAAUUUUCAAGGUGCUGCAUGGUUGUCGUCAGCUCGUGCCGUGAGGUGUUAGGUUAAGUCCUGCAACGAGCGCAACCCCUGUUGUUAGUUGCCAGCGAGUCAAGUCGGGAACUCUAACAAGACUGCCAGUGUAAACUGUGAGGAAGGUGGGGAUGACGU
rnacentral:rRNA from 1 species